rnacentral:miRNA from 1 species
GCCUCUUCUUGCUGCCAGUACCG